rnacentral:hammerhead_ribozyme from 1 species
ACUGAGGAGUCCCAUAACAGGACGAAACGACCGUCU